ACAUUUGUUCCUUCAUCUGUGAGACUAGGGUGAGUCCUCCGAGCUAGUGUGAGACACUUGGAACUUGGAACUGCAAUCUUUUGUUUUGAUCGCCUUUCUCAGCUGUCCACUAAGCGACAUCAAUAGCUGAAGCGAUUUCUACCAAGUGGAGAAGGCCAAAAAAGCUGGCCUGACUGGCUAGUGACACUUUCGUUCUAUCUCAGGAGCCGGCUGACUAACUUCCUGUGCUGUGAAGAAGGCAUUUCUGGAAUUUUAGUGGGGAAGGAAUUUUCUUGGUAGUUCGGAAGUGGUUAAACUGCUGGUUUCCUUUACCCACUUGCUGACCGUAUUAUCUACUGUCAGACUCACUGAUAUGACGUCUAAGAGACGAACCAGCCAAGUCAAGCAGUUGCAGAUACUCAUCAGGAAAAGCAGUGUCUCAUCUUGAGACACACGGACGUCAGGCGUCUCAAACGCAAACCUGUCUGUGUGCAGUUGCUGCUUCCUCUCCUCUCUUAAAGGUCUCAUUAUGGCUGAAACUUUUUAGGAAAAGACCUUGAAAUCCUUAAGUCUUAAUAUCUUGAAAAAUAAAGACACAAAGGAUUUUGUUCUUAGGCAUGGGUCAGAGAGCAGUCGUUUGAAAUGGUGAACCGAUGUUUGAUAUCUAAUAUGUAAUCACAAUCUUGUGCUGCCACCCUGUAAAAGGGGAUGGUUGCACCCAUAAUACAUCUGCAGUGAGCGUCUCUGCAGGCAGCAUCCAGAGUGAAAGCAAAACUGAUCCUCAUGUCAUCUAGGAAAAGGCUUCUUAGAAAUUCCCAGAAGGUUCUUCUUUAUGAAAGGGAAACCCCCAGCUAUUGUAACGUCUUCAUUACCCAUGCCCCUGUGUCAGGAAAGGCGUGGUUCCUAUAAUUUCACUGCAGUUCUUACUCCACAGAGCGAGUCCUCACAGCAGUGUGUGAAGUGUUCAUCAGGUAAAUGAAAACAUAUAGCCAUAGUCUUUUCAAAGCUGACACCACCGGGGCUGAUGGUCCCCGACAGCAUGCUGCAGCUCCUUGGUGGACCUACAGCUGAGGCCAGGUAUGAGCUCUGCUGGUACUGGAGUGCUACAGCUCCUUGUCCCAGGGGCUUUUCUAAUUGCUCAUCAGCCAAGGGAAAUCCCGGGCUUCGUAAAGCGCUGUUAAGAUAUGUUUGAUAUGUUUUCCACCGCUUUAUUUUUUUUUUCUGGGUAGAAAAAGUUAUCGGAAAUUCGAUUAAGGUUUUAUUUUGUAAAAGUUUUGUUUGUAGGGGCUGGAGAAAUGGCUCGGCAGUUAAGAGCACUGGCUUCUCUUCCAGUGGUCCUGAGUUCAAUUCCCAGCAACCACAUGGUGGCUCACAACCAUCUGGGGGUCCGAUGCCCUCUUUUGGUGUGUCUGAAGACAGUGGCAGUGUACUCAUAUACAUAAAAUAAAAAAUCUUGAAAAAUG
rnacentral:lncRNA from 1 species